rnacentral:rRNA from 1 species
UAAGCAUAUCAAUAAGCGGAGGAGAAGAAACUAACCAGGAUUUCCCUAGUAACGGCGAGCGAACCGGAAAGAGCCCAGCUUGAAAAUCGUGGUGCCUCGCACCUCGAAUUGUAGUCUGGAGAAGGUCCCUCUGCGGCGCGCCGGACCCAAGUUCCCUGGAAAGGGACGUCAGAGAGGGUGACAACCCCGUCGAGUCCGGGACGCGUCGUUCCACGAGGACCUGUCUGCGAGUCGGGCUGUUUGGGAAUGCAGCCCUAAGCGGGUGGUAAAUUCCAUCCAAGGCUAAAUAUUGGCAAGAGACCGAUAGCGAACAAGUACCGCGAGGGAAAGAUGAAAAGGACUUUGAAAAGAGAGUUAAAAAGUGCUUGAAAUUGCUGGGAGGGAAGCGAAUGGAAGCUGCGGGUGCGCCCCGGUUGGAUGCGGAACGGCUCCGGCUGGUCCGCCGCUCAACGCGGGGCGCUGGUCAGCGUGGGCCGUCGCGGCGGGACAAGAGCGGGGAUUCGCUUCCCGCCUAUGCCGUCGCGGCGGCCGAGGAACGAAGCGCGCGCCGCUCGCGGCGUGGGCACACCGCCCAACUGCGCGCUCGGGACGCUGGCGUAUUGAGCUCUUCAUCCGACCCGUCUUGAAACACGGACCAAGGAGUCUAACAUGUAUGCGAGCCGGUGGGCGGCAAACCCAUUGAGGCGCAAGUAACCUGACAGGUGGGACCCCGCAAGGGAGCACCAUCGACCGACCGUGAUCUUCUGUGAAGGGUC